rnacentral:misc_RNA from 1 species
GCUGUGUCCCAUAAAAACCAUCAUGGCCUGGUGCUAUUGAAUUCAAUUGACCCAGGCCUUGCAUGGUUGGUUGAUUGACAUAGUAACCGUCAUGAGGAGGUUCCAUUAAAUUCAAUUGUACCAGUCCUUGCACAUUCUGCUGUGCACCAUAAUAACCAUUAAGGGUAUCUGAGCCUAGAUUUUCCAUCUGCUGCAAGCUUUCUUGUGCUUCCACAAGCAUAAUCUCUGGAUCUGCUUGUACCUUCCUUUUCCUGAUUGGAUUUUUCUUCUUAAUAGACUUAGAAGGAUUUACUUGGUUUUCAUCUUCUGCUUCACAAUUGGUAAAGGAUUGGCCACCAGAUUCCACAGCACUGUUGUUUCUGUUAUUCACAUUCACACAAUUCUUCAGUGUCUCUACAAGUGUACGGAAAGCAAUAUUGUAGCUCUGUUCACAUAAUGAUCCUUCUUCACUCAUUUCAAUGGCUAGUUUGCACAAAUCAUUAUAACGUUGCACCCUUGUUUCUAUUCGUGCUUUUCCUUCAAACAGCUGUUGCCUGCUCUUAGCAUCUUUUGUCCACCUCUUCAAAAUAUAAUGAUUUGGGAUGCUUGAAAGACCACAGAUUUGGAGAACAAUCAAUGCAUGCCUACAAAGAAAUCCUUUGUAUUCAAACAAUCGGCAUAAACAAGACACUGCUGACUUACUUUGGUCCCAUGUCACCAGGAAAUACUCAUUCUUUUCACAGUCUUGAACUCUAAAUGUCACAUUUGUUCCAUCUUCAU